UACGGUUGGAUCUGGGUUCCACACAGGCCACCUCCAAUCUAUUUACCUAUUCUUCCGUACAUGUAUGUAAAUUCAAAUACCAAUUUAAAAGACAAGGGGAAAGGAGCUGUGAGGGUUUCAGAUGGCUUUCGCCGGUGAGACGGGGGAAGGGGAAGCAAGGGGUUUUCAAUAGCAAUCGAUCGUCCGUUCAAGGUUUCUCCAGUUGGAGCUCUGCUGGGAGUUUUGAUCGUCAGGCUACGAGCAUUUCUAUCUCUGAGGAAGGGGGUUUGGAUCGCACUUGUGGUGGAAGUUCGGUUCCAUCUAAGAGGCUUGAGCCAUCUUGGGGAAAUAAGAAAUCUCCAGUGGAUGUUGGGUGAAUGUUGUACAGGGCAGUCGGUGCUUUAGGUGGGAGACCUCGCAUGCGUCCCUGAUGGACAUCGCUGCUUUGGAGGAAAAGUUUUCGUAAUUUGUUGUGUUUACAAAUGAGAAGGUUGAGAAGGCAUGUAUCCGAUGGUAGAAUGCUCUUCUCAGUAAGUUAUUGUGGUGUGGGUUUGCUCCUGACUUUAUCCAGAAAGAGCUUCGAUCUAGAUGAAAUAUUCAAGAGGCAUUUCAUGUAUCAGCAUGGGCAAAUGGGGUGAUGGUGUUUUCCUUACCAGAUGAGGCCAUUAGGGAGAGGGUUAUAGAGAAGGGCCCUUGGUCAUUCGGGUAGGGCAGUUGUUAGCUCUAGAGCCUUGAGACUCAAUUUUCGGUCGAGGAAAGAGACUUUUCAGAAGAUAAAAAUCUGGCUUAGGUUAUCAGAUUUGCCUCUCGAGCUUUGGGCCAGAGACAACAUUUUGAAGAUUACCUUAAAGGCAGGUAAGUUUCUUUUCUUGGAUGAAUGGACCAAUUCAACGGCUCGACUAGGAUUUGCUCAGAUAUGUAUUGAGCUGGAUCUAAGCAAAGAGUUUUGUCCGGGUGCUAAGGUGGGUGUAAAGGGCACAACAAUGUGGUAGGAGUUCAUAUACGAAGACCUUCCAGAUGUUUGCUAUAGAUGUGGAAGGAUUGGGGUACUGCUGAAUGCAUGCUCCUGCCAAAGGACAAAAGAUGGCCAGUUGUUGGGGCCAUAGAUCCGAGCCGUGCGUAUUUCAGUUGCAUUAAUUUCAGCUUCUGUGGCUAGACAAGCUUCAGUUAACUCUUCACAAAGUACUACGGCCACAGGAACAUCUCAAUAUACCCCAUGGGUGGUGCCUAAGCGAGCAACGAAAAUGGUUUCUCAGAUGACUAUUCAUUUCCCAGAUCAUGUUUCUCUAUCAACUGAAUCUAGGUUUGCUCUCUUAUUGUUUUCAGAUUCUACUGCUCUAGAGGGUAUACAGGCAAUGGAUUGCAUUUUCACAUUCACAUCCAAAGCUGUGUCGGCUGAUAAAUCGGUGAUGGAGUAAAAGAAGCGCUCUCCAAUCAAGGACAAGACUUCUAAGUCUUCUGGCUCCCAAUCUCCACAACAAAAGAUCCUAAUGGUGGAGGAUCAUGUCAGUUCCUCUCGACCACAGCUUAAAGAUCCCAGUGAGAUCCAGUAUAUUUCUCAACAAGAGUCUUCAAAAAAGAAAUUGGCCAUUUAUCUCAAGAGGGUGAAUUUGGCUAAAUCUCGGAUUCUUUUUAGUCCCUCUACAGCAUCUUACGAUAAAGGCUUAAAUAAAAGCUAUGUUUAAUAUUCCUUCAUGGAGAGGCUUUUGUAGAUACCUCAGAGUGCUGGUGGCAGGUACUAGAUAUUGGCCUUCUGAUUUUAUUUUUCUUAUGGAUAGAUUGUUAGCACGAAUUGCUAGUUGGAAGUGGAGGGCUCUGUCAUUUGCUGGAUGAGCAACCCUUCUACACUCCGUGCUUCCGUCUAUUCCACUUUAUGUUAUGUCUGUUGUGCCAGUUCCAUUAUUUGUGCUUGCAAAACUUGAAAAGCAUUUUUGUAGUUUCUUAUGGGGACAUGAAGGUCAUCGACAGAAGCUUCACUUGAUCUCUUGGGCUCAGGUUUGCUCUCCUAAAUCUGUGGGUGGACUUGGUUUGUAAUCUCUAAGCCUUAGGAGACAAGUAUUACUAGGUAAGCUAGCAACUCAUGUUGUUCUCAAUCCUUCUUCUCUAUGGGCCAAAUUGAUAAGGGCUAAAUAUAAAUUCGGGUCAUCCUGGGCCUCAUAUGGUAAGCCUUCACAUUGUUCUCUAAUUUGGAUGGCCAUUGCUAAAAUGGGAUCUCAUCUUCGGUAUGAUUUCAUCUGGUCUAUUGGGAAUGGUAAAUCUAUUCAUGCCUUUUAUGAUCCCUGGAUUCAUCCAAUUCUCCUUUGUGCCUGGCCAACUUUUAUAAACAUGGAUGUGGGGUGGGAGAGCAUAUGGCUUGAUCAAUUAUUUUCUAAUGAUUCUGGUUGGAAUUUUAAUCACUUAUCAUCUCUGUUUUCGGCUGAUAUGGUGACCAUUAUUCAAAGCAUUCCUAUUGCUUUUGGGCACUGGUUGGAUCAGCUUGGGUGGCAUGCAUUCAUAUCCUCGCAUGUCUUAAUUAGAGAGGUUAUGGCAUGUCUCCACUGUGAUAAUUUGUCAGCUGCUGAUUCUAAUUGUACCUGGAUUUGAAAGUUAUCAAUUUCUCAAAGAGUCAAAACUUUCUGUUGGCAACCAUUCUUCCAAAAAAAUUCAUGCAAAAACUUGCUGGUCGAUAGGAGCAUUCUUUCUCUCGAUCAUCAGAUUUGUGACUGUUGUGCUGAUUAUUUAGAAGAUUGCGAACAUGUGAUGUUUCAAUGUCCUUUUGCUACUAAUUGUUGGGAGCUGUUUGCUUAUAUACGUAAUAAAUAGUCGCGUCCUACUUUAUUAACUGAGUUAUUUGAAUUGAUUUCAAUGGGUUGGGAGAGAGAGGGGGUAUCAGUCUUUAUGUAUUUAUUUGGCCUGGCUCAUAUAAAAGGCUCGUAAUGCUCGGGUUUUUGAAGGUUCCUCUGCUACUCUUCAAGAUCUUAUGAGCCAACUAAUUGUAAUGCAUCGCAAUUUAAUCUUUCCUUCAAGGAACUAGGACUAUCUUUACCCUUUACCUCAGAGGAUCUCAUCCAACCUCUUCAUCGUCUGGUAGCCUCCUCCCUUUGGAGUUCUGAAGUUUAAUUUUGAUGGUGCCAUAAAAGCAGAUGGGGCUGCUGCUGCAUACAUCAUUAAGGAUUAUCAGGACCGCCUUAUCAGGGCAGCUGCUCGCCAUUUGCCCAACUGUUCGGUGCCUUAUGCUGAACUGGUUAGUGCUUAGAUGGAGAUUCAUGAAGUUCUAUUUUUUUUGCAGGCUGACUAGCUUUUGAUUGAGGGAGACUCUAUUAUGGUUAUUAGUUGGCUUGCUUAAUCACAGCCUCUUAAGCACCUUUGUGGCCUCUGUUAUAUAAUAUUAUGACGUGGAAAGCAACCUUGCAACUUUGUAUGGUCUCUCGUAUCUUUCCAGAGGCCAACCAGGCUAUUGAUUGAUUGGCUUCAGGCUCUGUUUCUCGACCUUUAUCUUUUUUGCAAUAUGAUAUUUUACUUAGACAGUUAUGUAGGAUCUUGCAGGUGGAUGCUUUGGGUGUUACAUACAUUAGCCAGGCUUAAGCUCGCUUGGUAUUUCAGUGUGCUGAGUGUCAAUUAUUCUAAGUGAAUGAAAUUAGAAUGCUUCAGUUUUAGUCAUCUGAAAUUUUUCUAUAUCAUGAUGAAGAUUUUAUCUUAUAGACUGAUUCUGUAAUGCUUGUUGACAUGUUACAUUAGGUUGAUAUUUUUCUCACAGUUGGCAUUAUCCUAUAUCAUCAGAUAUGGAGACUCUAUGGGUGUGGAUGCCUUUGUCAGCAAAUAUUUUGGUUGCUGUUAUUACUUUACUUCUCAUUCCUUAAUAUGGCCAUUCAAUGUUUUAAUUACUUUAAGACUGCUCUUACUCAACUUUAGUGGUUUCAGCAUCCUCUACUCUGCUAUUUACUACUCCAUUGCUUACUUCAUCACAAAUUCCAGUAUCACUUAUUAUUGGAUUUAUGCAAGCAUCAUAUAUCUAUAUCUCACAGUGUUUCUAACUGCUUGAUUACAGCUGGGGCUACGAUGCUGUCUUUUUGGAACUUACUCUAUUAAUAAUUUAUCCUACAUGCUGUUUUUAUUUCUUUCUUACCUAUAAAUGGUCUAGCUAUUCUAUUUGUACUCUGUUUCUUCUACAUAUAAUAUAACAUGGGAGUUGUCACCAAAAAAAAAGAUACAGAUUUGUAUAUGGGAUAAGAUUCUUUUCUCCAUUAUCUAACCAUUUUUGAAGUAUAAUACAAUAAUUUAACAAUUGAUGAUAAACAGAAUACUUCAAAGUUAAAUUUUUAUUACAUAUUAACUAGUGAAUUUUAAUAAUUUUUGAUAGAAACUUCUAUCAUUAACACCGAUAUCUACAUAACAAACGAAAACUCUAUAUAAACUAAGCUUCCAUAGAGAAACACCCGUCAUUAGUACAAACAUCAUUAAUAUUGGCCCCAUGUGGGAGAUAUAUGGUGAAUGAAAAACUCAAUAUAAGUUAAACCUCCAUUUUAUACAUGCAUACAUAUACAUAUAUAUAUAAUAGAGUAGAUCAAGAUCAAGUUACUUGGUGUAACUCUUGUAGAGUUAUACUUUCUUUUAAAUUGAACACUUAGGGUCCCAAAACAAUUAUAUGAGUCACUAUAUCCAAACUACUUACGCAUAAAAAAUUAUAUGAUUUGUAGACCCUUAGACUAUGCAUCAAACGAUCAAUUUUUUUUAAUAUUUUUAAACUAUCCAAAAUUAGAGAUCAUUAAAUUAUAUGAUUUUUUUGUAUGUAAGUAAUUUAGAAAUAGUAGAGCAUAUUAAAUAGCUUUGGUCAUCGAUGUAAUUAAAACCUUCAUCAUCUAAUCAAAAAAAAAAAGUAAUAACUCUAUUAAAGUUACACCAAUUGUACCUUAAACCCAACUGCAAUAGAUUCAAUAAUUAAGCUAUCUUACACCCAAAAAAAAAUUUAGGAGACUACAUGAAUGUGGAUAACUUUUUUAAAUAUUUUCAUAGAGGUGAAUGGUUUUAAUGAAUUCAUUUAUUUGGAAAUUGAAUGAGCAGUGACAAUUAUAUUUUAAAAUUACAUUAUUGUAAAAAGUUUGUGAUGUCAAGAGUCAUAAAACAAUAUCUUAAUUAUAAAUAAAGAUCAUUAGUUAUAUAAUUUUAAGCUUACUCUACUAUUGUCUUUAUUGAAAGGAUCAAAAUCUAAUUAUUGCUACACAACAAUAUGUGAUCAUUAAAAGCCAUCAAUCCCUCUAGUGUCUCCUAUAACAAAUCAGUACUUAUGUCAAGAAAUUGGUUGUAUUUAUGUGUCAACCAUCCAAUUCAUUUUACCUUAUUGGGUAAUGUUGCAAGUUUAUUUCAAGGCCCUUUUUUUUGGCAUAUAUAUCCUUCUAAAUACUGAAAAUUGUGUGGACCCUCAUAAGUUAAUUAUUACAUGUUUAUCCUUACAAAAUAUUUCUUUUUACAUAUUUACCCUUGAUGUCCUAGUCCACUAUAUUAAUUUAACUAGUAUUUAUUUAACUAGUAUUUUUUUCGCACAUCUACCCUUAUUUUGAUUUUAAGUAGCUCAUUUUUCAUGAUGGUUGGUGGCAUAUGGAUUGUAGGAUAAGCAUACUAAAAGAAAUAAUUUAUAAAGAUAUACACAUAAAUAGUAAAUCUGUAAAGGUCAUAAAUAUGUAGUGAUCAUUUCUCUUCUCCCCCAUUCCAUUUAGGGCAUAUUUGAGUGCUUAAGAUUUAUAAUCUUAGAAUAAAAUUCAUGAUAGAACUAGUGGAUAACCUACACUUUACAAUGAGACUUUAAGUAAAAUACGUUAAAAAAAUAUUGUAAUAUUGAUAAGAAAUACUAAAAAGGUAUAUCCUUUUAAGACCAAAUCAAAAUAUUUUAAAAUGCAUGAAUAUUUAUAACAAAUAAUAAUAUUUUUUAUUCUUUAAAAGUUGGAUGGUCUUCGCUUGAGUUGCAAAAUAGAAAAAAUAAAUGCUAGAUCAUGAAGUUGCCCAUAUCCUUGAACUUAAAAAAAAAAAAAAAA